UCUUUCCUUCUCCCUUGUGUUUUCAUCCCAACACGAUUUCUCUCCCCAUUCGACUACCUUCUCCCUCAUUUCUCUCCCCUUUCGCUAGUCAUCACCAUCUCGCUCACUAUCGUUACUCAACCUGCGCCUCACAUCGACAAUGGCAACAACCUACUCUUGUGAGAUGUGCGGCCGCACGGCUUCUCACUCACUCAGUUGGAUCUCUCUUAUUCUUCUCUCAGUUUGAUGGAUCAUGUUGCUUUUUUAUUUUUAGUUGCAAUUUUUGGGGAUUUUUAUGUUUUCCCUUUCUGAUAGACCUAAGAUCUUUGAUGGGUUUGUGGAAUUUUUUGAAUCUCGCUUAGUUGUUCAAUUUUCUGAGUUUCUAAGCUGGUUCUUGCUUUAGCAAACAUGAUGUAAGAUAGGGAUAGUGGGUGAAAAAAUAACUUCUCACAAUUUUUGUUCAAAACCCAUUUUCGGAAUUUUGGGAUUUUUUUGAGUUUUGUGAGGUCAUUAUCGGUGAUGUAUUCCAAAAUUACAUUUUUGUGGAUAUGGAUGCCUUGUCGGAUUAGAAAACUUAGGGGAUUUAGAUUUUAAAUGAGAAUGAUGGAGCCCCAAGGAUUUUAAAUCAUAAUCCAAUCAUUUACAGGUGAUCAAAUAAAAAAGUGCCCUCAAGGUGUUCGACGUAAAGCCUGUGAGACAAUCGAAGGGACAACUAUAUCCUUGUGCUUGUUGGAGAAGUUGUCUUGUUUGGUGAGAUUAGUCUAAAGCAUGUCCAGUCACCAGUUCUAGCUCCUAGAUAUUUGGUUGUCCUACAAUGUCAUUUAGUUGAUGACAAACUCUUUAAGACAAAUUGAUUUUUAUUAUGGUUUACAGAUUGAUAAUUAUGAUGGUUUAUAUAUUCUAAAUUCAAUGACUAUUGUAAAUGUUAUAAAAAGCCUUAUAACAAUAGGGAAGUUGGCACCUCUAGUUAGUUUGUAAUUUGUAUUCUAUACUUUCAAUUGAGUAUGUUUGCUGCAUAUGUUUCACUGAUAUUUUCUUUUUGGUUUUGGUCCAGUCAUAACUCAUUGGCUAUUUUUCCUUACAUCUUUGUUCUCCAUAUCUCCUUAUACUCCCCUAAGAUUAUUAAUUGCAGUUUGGAUCUUUAUGCUAAAUUAAUACAUAACAUUCAUUGGUGAUCUUUCUUUCAUAACAAGUUUUGAUUUUUUGAUUCUGACAAGAGAAGUUGAUUUAUAUCUCAUGCACUUCUUCAAUGGAAUUUUCAAAUUUAUUUAUUGAUACACCGAGAUUGAUCUCUAUUUGGUCGACAAUAACUUCUGAUUGCCCAAAUAUCAUGCUCAAUAUGAACAUGUUUUUGCUAAUACCUUGUCUCCAAAUUUUUUCUACUUCAAUUUGAUGGUUUCAUUGAUUUGGAUACGCUGAAUCUUCAAGGAGAUGGAAGAUGCUAUACAUCCAUCGUAAGUUUUUUUCUCCUUCAGAUAAUCUGAAUGUAAAUGAUAAACGAGAUAAAGCAUAAUCUUCUUCGAGAACAAGAUAAAGAAAUAGCAACUUGCAAGGUUACAUUUUUUUGUAGAAGUCCUACAUUUCUUCCUUUCUUAUUGUGCAUUGAUUUUACAUUUUGCUUACAUAUAAUAAUGGAUAAAUUUGAAGCUUAGAUAGUUUGUGAAGCAUUCAAAUUAUGAACAAUUUGGUGAAUUUAUGUUUUGGUUUCGUGAAGCAAAGUUGCUCUAACAAUGGAAAAAUUUGGCUUAAAGAAUCAUUUGUGUUUGUUGUCAGGCUCUAAUCGCGCUUGUUUUGUUGGGAUCUUUGUUUGGUCGUUAUGUUGGUUGUUUUAUCAAAUUAUUAAAUCUUUCAUGAACCCGAAAAAGUCGACAAUUAGGGAUGCAACUAAUUGAUGGAUGAGCUUCCUUGUUGAGGUUGGUGUGUGAGACUUGUUUAAUUCUAUAAUUUGUGUUUGUAGGAAUUUGAACAUGUUUAAUAUAAUAUACUAGCAAGUCCGAGAAUACUUUGUUCCUACUAUAUUUCAACUUUGUUAUCUAAAUUAAUGUAUUUGCGAUUUCGAUCGACAAUUUAAUUAAA